rnacentral:rRNA from 1 species
UGGGGAAUUUUGGACAAUGGGCGAAAGCCUGAUCCAGCAAUGCCGCGUGUGUGAAGAAGGCCUUCGGGUUGUAAAGCACUUUUGUCCGGAAAGAAAUCCUUGGCUCUAAUACAGUCGGGGGAUGACGGUACCGGAAGAAUAAGCACCGGCUAACUACGUGCCAGCAGCCGCGGUAAUACGUAGGGUGCAAGCGUUAAUCGGAAUUACUGGGCGUAAAGCGUGCGCAGGCGGUUUGCUAAGACCGAAUGUGAAAUCCCCGGGCUCAACCUGGGAACUGCAUUGGUGACUGGCAGGCUAGAGUAUGGCAGAGGGGGGUAGAAUUCCACGUGUAGCAGUGAAAUGCGUAGAGAUGUGGAGGAAUACCGAUGGCGAAGGCAGCCCCCUGGGCCAAUACUGACGCUCAUGCACGAAAGCGUGGGGGAGCAAACAGGAUUAGAU